rnacentral:sRNA from 1 species
GCCAAGUGUGGUGGCCCAUGCUUGUAAUCCCAGCAACUUGGGAGGCUGAGGCAGAAGGAUUGCAAGUUCAAGGACAGCUCAGGCAAGAUAGCAAGACCCUGUUUCAA